CAACCUCAACUCAUAUGGGACUACCCCCUGAAUUUAAGCAUAUUAAUUAGGGGAGGAAAAGAAACUAACAAGGAUUUUCUUAGUAGCGGCGAGCGAAAAGAAAACAGUUCAGCACUAAGUCACUUUGUCUAUAUGGCAAAUGUGAGAUGCAGUGUAUGGAGCGUCAAUAUUCUAGUAUGAGAACUUAAUGAUUUAAGUCCUUCUUAAAUGAGGCCAUUUACCCAUAGAGGGUGCCAGGCCCGUAUAACGUUAAUGAUUGCUAGAUGAUGUUUCCAAAGAGUCGUGUUGCUUGAUAGUGCAGCACUAAGUGGGUGGUAAACUCCAUCUAAAACUAAAUAUAACCAUGAGACCGAUAGUAAACAAGUACCGUGAGGGAAAGUUGAAAAGAACUCUGAAUAGAGAGUUAAACAGUACGUGAAACUGCUUAGAGGUUAAGCCCGAUGAACCUGAAUAUCCGUUAUGGAAAAUUCAUCAUUAAAAUUGUAAUAUUUAAAUAAUAUUAUUAAGAAUAAUGUGCAUUUUUUCCAUAUAAGGACAUUGUAAUCUAUUAGCAUAUCCCAAAUUUAUCAUAAAAUAUAACUUAUAGUUUAUUCCAAUUAAAUUGCUUGCAUUUUAACACAGAAUAAAUGUUAUUAAUUUGAUAAAGUGCUGAUAGAUUUAUAUUAUUACAGAGCGUUAAUUUUUCGGAAUUAUAUAAUGGCAUAAUUAUCAUUGAUUUUUGUGUUUAUUAUAUGCUCUUGUAUGAUUAACAAUGCGAAAGAUUCAGGAUACCUUCGGGACCCGUCUUGAAACACGGGACCAAGGAGUCUAACAUAUGUGCAAGUUAUUUGGGAUGUAAACCCUAAUAGCGUAAUUAACUUGGACUAAUAAUGGGAUUAGUUUUUUAGCUAUUUAUAGCUAAUUUAACACAAUCCCCGGGGCGGUUCUAUAUAAGUUAUGUAUAAUGUAUAAUUUAAUCGUAUUUAUGCCUCCUAACUGGAAACGUACCUUUGAAGCAUUAUAUGCUGUGACCCGAAAGAUG
rnacentral:ncRNA from 1 species